AGAGUUUGAUCCUGGCUCAGGAUGAACGCUGGCGGCGUGCCUAAUACAUGCAAGUCGAGCGAACGGACGAGAAGCUUGCUUCUCUGAUGUUAGCGGCGGACGGGUGAGUAACACGUGGAUAACCUACCUAUAAGACUGGGAUAACUUCGGGAAACCGGAGCUAAUACCGGAUAAUAUUUUGAACCGCAUGGUUCAAAAGUAAAAGACGGUCUUGCUGUCACUUAUAGAUGGAUCCGCGCUGCAUUAGCUAGUUGGUAAGGUAACGGCUUACCAAGGCAACGAUGCAUAGCCGACCUGAGAGGGUGAUCGGCCACACUGGAACUGAGACACGGUCCAGACUCCUACGGGAGGCAGCAGUAGGGAAUCUUCCGCAAUGGGCGAAAGCCUGACGGAGCAACGCCGCGUGAGUGAUGAAGGUCUUCGGAUCGUAAAACUCUGUUAUUAGGGAAGAACAUAUGUGUAAGUAACUGUGCACAUCUUGACGGUACCUAAUCAGAAAGCCACGGCUAACUACGUGCCAGCAGCCGCGGUAAUACGUAGGUGGCAAGCGUUAUCCGGAAUUAUUGGGCGUAAAGCGCGCGUAGGCGGUUUUUUAAGUCUGAUGUGAAAGCCCACGGCUCAACCGUGGAGGGUCAUUGGAAACUGGAAAACUUGAGUGCAGAAGAGGAAAGUGGAAUUCCAUGUGUAGCGGUGAAAUGCGCAGAGAUAUGGAGGAACACCAGUGGCGAAGGCGACUUUCUGGUCUGUAACUGACGCUGAUGUGCGAAAGCGUGGGGAUCAAACAGGAUUAGAUGCCCUGGUAGUCCACGCCGUAAACGAUGAGUGCUAAGUGUUAGGGGGUUUCCGCCCCUUAGUGCUGCAGCUAACGCAUUAAGCACUCCGCCUGGGGAGUACGACCGCAAGGUUGAAACUCAAAGGAAUUGACGGGGACCCGCACAAGCGGUGGAGCAUGUGGUUUAAUUCGAAGCAACGCGAAGAACCUUACCAAAUCUUGACAUCCUUUGACAACUCUAGAGAUAGAGCCUUCCCCUUCGGGGGACAAAGUGACAGGUGGUGCAUGGUUGUCGUCAGCUCGUGUCGUGAGAUGUUGGGUUAAGUCCCGCAACGAGCGCAACCCUUAAGCUUAGUUGCCAUCAUUAAGUUGGGCACUCUAAGUUGACUGCCGGUGACAAACCGGAGGAAGGUGGGGAUGACGUCAAAUCAUCAUGCCCCUUAUGAUUUGGGCUACACACGUGCUACAAUGGACAAUACAAAGGGCAGCGAAACCGCGAGGUCAAGCAAAUCCCAUAAAGUUGUUCUCAGUUCGGAUUGUAGUCUGCAACUCGACUACAUGAAGCUGGAAUCGCUAGUAAUCGUAGAUCAGCAUGCUACGGUGAAUACGUUCCCGGGUCUUGUACACACCGCCCGUCACACCACGAGAGUUUGUAACACCCGAAGCCGGUGGAGUAACCUUUUAGGAGCUAGCCGUCGAAGGUGGGACAAAUGAUUGGGGUGAAGUCGUAACAAGGUAGCCGUAUCGGAAGGUGCGGCUGGAUCACCU
rnacentral:rRNA from 1 species